rnacentral:rRNA from 1 species
UACGGGGGGGGGCAAGCGUUGUUCGGAAUUACUGGGCGUAAAGGGCUCGUAGGCGGCCAACUAAGUCAGACGUGAAAUCCCUCGGCUUAACCGGGGAACUGCGUCUGAUACUGGAUGGCUUGAGUUUGGGAGAGGGAUGCGGAAUUCCAGGUGGUAGCGGUGAAAUGCGUAGAUAUCUGGAGGAACACCGGUGGCGAAGGCGGCAUCCUGGACCAACACUGACGCUGAGGAGCGAAAGCCAGGGGAGCAAAGC